rnacentral:rRNA from 1 species
UACGUAGGGUGCGAGCGUUAAUCGGAAUUACUGGGCGUAAAGCGUGCGCAGGCGGUUCGUUGUGUCGGUGGUGAAAGCCCCGGGCUUAACCUGGGAAUGGCCAUGGAAACUGGCGAACUGGAGUGUGGCAGAGGGGGGUGGAAUUCCGCGUGUAGCAGUGAAAUGCGUAGAGAUGCGGAGGAACACCGAUGGCGAAGGCAGCCCCCUGGGUCAAAACUGACGCUCAUGCACGAAAGCGUGGGGAGCAAACAGG